AAGGUUUCCGUAGGUGAACCUGCGGAAGGA
rnacentral:ncRNA from 6 species